rnacentral:sRNA from 1 species
ACAUGACAGCCAUCAUCAAAGAGAUCGUUAGCAGAAACAAAAGGAGAUAUCAAGAGGAUGGAUUCGACUUAGACUUGACCUAUAUUUAUCCAAACAUUAUUGCUAUGGGAUUUCCUGCAGAAAGACUUGAAGGCGUAUACAGGAACAAUAUUGAUGAUGUAGUAAGGUAAGAAUGCUUUGAUUUUCUAUUUCAAAUAUUGAUGUUUAUAUUCAUGUUGUAUUUUCAUUUAGAAAAGAUUUCCAAACCACAGAAAAAGAUACUUUGUGAUGUAAACUUUAUUAUUGUAGUGCUCUAUGAUCAUUUUUUGGCUCACCGUACCUAAUGGACUUCAGGGGUAUACAGUUCAUUUGAUAAGAACUGACCUUAUACAUAAUCAGGU